rnacentral:rRNA from 1 species
GUUGGUGAGGUAAAGGCUCACCAAGGCUACGAUCCGUAACUGGUCUGAGAGGAUGAUCAGUCACACCGGAACUGAGACACGGUCCGGACUCCUACGGGAGGCAGCAGUGGGGAAUAUUGGACAAUGGGCGAAAGCCUGAUCCAGCAAUACCGCGUGUGUGAAGAAGGCCUUCGGGUUGUAAAGCACUUUAAGUUGGGAAGAAAAAACUUUACUUAAUACGUGAAGUCUUGACGGUACCGACAGAAUAAGCACCGGCUAACUCUGUGCCAGCAGCCGCGGUAAUACAGAGGGUGCUAGCGUUAAUCGGAUUUACUGGGCGUAAAGCGUGCGUAGGCGGUUUGAUAAGUCGAUUGUGAAAGCCCUGGGCUCAACCUAGGAAUUGCGGUCGAUACUGUCAGACUAGAAAACGGUAGAGGGAGGUGGAACUCCAGGUGUAGCGGUGAAAUGCGUAGAUAUCUGGAAGAACACCGAUGGCGAAGGCAGCCUCCUGGGCCUGUUUUGACGCUGAGGCACGAAAGCGUGGGUAGCAAACAGGAUUAGAUACCCUGGUAGUCCACGCCGUAAACGAUGAGAACUUGACGUUGGUUUGCUUAGCAAAUCGGUGUCGUAGCUAACGCGAUAAGUUCUCCGCCUGGGGAGUACGGCCGCAAGGUUGAAACUCAAAGGAAUUGACGG